GUGAGGAAUAUUGCGCAAUGGAGGCAACUCUGACGCAGCCAUGCCGCGUGCAGGAAGAAGGCGCUACGCGUUGUAAACUGCUUUUAACCGGGAAGAAACCCCAGGACGUGUCCUGGGUUGACGGUACCGGAGGAAUAAGCACCGGCUAACUUCGUGCCAGCAGCCGCGGUAAUACGAAGGGUGCAAGCGUUAUCCGGCUUCAUUGGGUUUAAAGGGUGCGUAGGCGGAGCGUUAAGUCAGUGGUGAAAUCCUGCAGCUUAACUGUAGACUUGCCAUUGGUACUGGAGCUCUUGAGUGCGCUUGAAGUGGGCGGAAUGUGCCGUGUAGCGGUGAAAUGCUUAGAUAUGGCACAGAACACCAAUUGCGAAGGCAGCUCACUAAGGCGAUACUGACGCUGAGGCACGAAAGCGUGGGGAUCGAACAGGAUUAGAUACCCGGGUAGUCC
rnacentral:rRNA from 1 species